rnacentral:rRNA from 1 species
CCUACGGGAGGCAGCAGUAGGGAAUCUUCCGCAAUGGGCGAAAGCCUGACGGAGCAACGCCGCGUGAGUGAUGAAGGUCUUCGGAUCGUAAAACUCUGUUAUCAGGGAAGAACAAAUGUGUAAGUAACUGUGCACAUCUUGACGGUACCUGAUCAGAAAGCCACGGCUAACUACGUGCCAGCAGCCGCGGUAAUACGUAGGUGGCAAGCGUUAUCCGGAAUUAUUGGGCGUAAAGCGCGCGUAGGCGGUUUUUUAAGUCUGAUGUGAAAGCCCACGGCUCAACCGUGGAGGGUCAUUGGAAACUGGAAAACUUGAGUGCAGAAGAGGAAAGUGGAAUUCCAUGUGUAGCGGUGAAAUGCGCAGAGAUAUGGAGGAACACCAGUGGCGAAGGCGACUUUCUGGUCUGUAACUGACGCUGAUGUGCGAAAGCGUGGGGAUCAAACAGGAUUAGAUACCCUGGUAGUCCACGCCGUAAACGAUGAGUGCUAAGUGUUAGGGGGUUUCCGCCCCUUAGUGCUGCAGCUAACGCAUUAAGCACUCCGCCUGGGGAGUACGACCGCAAG